CACGUGAGUAAUCUGCCUUUCAGUCUGGGAUAACAGUGCGAAAGCGCUGCUAAUACCGGAUAAGACCACAAGGCGUUGGCCAGGUGGGAAAAGGAUGGGAUCUCUUCGGAGACCAUCUGCUGGAAGAUGAGCUCGCGGCCCAUUAGGUAGUUGGCGGGGUAAUGGCCUACCAAGCCGACGAUGGCUAGCCGGCCUGAGAGGGUGAUCGGCCACAAGGGGACUGAGACACGGCCCUUACUCCUACGGGAGGCAGCAGUGGGGAAUAUUGGACAAUGGGCGAAAGCCUGAUGCAGCCAUGCC
rnacentral:rRNA from 1 species